CCCUUGCUGGUCUGGUGGCUAGAAUUCUUGGUUCUCAUCCAGGCUUCCCAGGUUCAAUUCCUGGGCAGGGAA
rnacentral:tRNA from 1 species